rnacentral:lncRNA from 1 species
AUAGGUGGAUCUAGAGGGAGAUUAUCUUCCCUUUUCCCUUCCCCAAUAGGCAACCCUCGAUGGGUGUGCCAGGAAUGGGAUAUCGGGGGGAGGAGAAGAAAAGGGGUGGGAAGUGGUUGCCGCUUGCUGCAGCCAGCCUGAGUGAUGGUUAGGUGGUUAAUCAUGGUGGCCGUGAGGAAACAUGGGGUCACCGCUCCCCCCUUCCGCCUCCCGUGUGAUAAGCGAAGGUGGCGGGCAGCGCGGCGGGGGCACUCGCCCUGUCACCGCCACCGGCCAAAAGCGGGGGGGAAACGCGGAUCUCGCACGGACCCGCUGGCGGCGGCGACUCAGCUUGCAGUGGGGCUGGAGCAGAGCUGCUGAGGACCUCAGGAGGGCCCAUCUUUCCCAAGACAUUGUCUGCAGACCCUUCUGACCAACAGCGAAAGACUGAAGAGUAAAAGCAAUUUAAAAUCCCAGGGCACCUACAUGGAGGCAAGUGGCUCAGUUCUUCAGCCUCACUGCCCUUCUCUGAGACUCCUGGUUGGGAGAAUCUAUCCCACAGAUGCUUCUGGCAGGACCAUGUGUUUCCCGCAUGGGCAUAGCCCAUCAAAUCACCACUGUCAGCUUUCUGCAGAAAACAGGGCCAAGAGUCUGAAGCAAACUAGUCCUGCUGCAGCCCUGAAAAAGCAGGCUAUCUGAAAACAAAAGAUGUAAUUAAAUUUCCUUUCCACAUGGUGGAUGAAGAAGCUUUUACCUGGGGAAGAGAUGAAAAAUGUUCUUUUUGUAAGCCUAGUCCAGAGAGGCUUACUCCAGAAAGAAAAUCUUUGAGGUAUUCUCUGGCACGUGGGUCCUGCUAGGCUUCAGCCAGAUGAACUGUUUUCAAAAGCACUGGAAUGUAGUUUCAGCAAUAGUCGGUCAACAGAAAGAGAGACGGUGAGGGUAUUCUGUUGUAGAGAAUUUCUGAGUGAAUAUCCACAUAUUGUGGCAAAGAUGUCAAAGAAAACAGAUUUAAAAAAUUAAUGUGAAUCUUGGGAGUUGAACUCCUGGAAUCUGGCUCUGCCCUGACUGAUGGAAAACUGGAGCCAUUGCUGGAUGGGAGAUGGAAAUUUUCAACUCCAAUUUCAAACAAUUGACUGAAACUCAGCUGAUGAACUUUUUGCCCUGCUGAUGAAAAAAAAGGAAUUUCCCACUAUUUUUAAAAUUUAUUGCUCAGAAUGCAUAAGUACUAAGUUAGAGAUACAGCUUUUGGUGUAAGCCAGCAUAAUCCUUUUGCCACUGAAAUGUUCUGUUGUAUAGUAAUUUGACCCACUCUGUGUGUGUGUGAAAUUGUUGUCUAAAAUGUAUUGCUUAAAAUUGGUAUUUGCCUGUUUCCAGACAAAUCUGUUAAAGAAUUCUAAAAGAAAAUUAUGCAAAAGGAAGCAACUUACUCUUUAUUGUCCUGCGUGGAAAACACUUGAGUUCUGCGUUGUUUCAGAUCACUUCUGAAGGAACAGAAAUGGUUCAAUGUAAUACUACAAUGGUGUAAUUUUUUUAUAGGCUAGUUAAAUUAUUUUCAUGAGACAAAGAAAUCCCUUACAAUGACAGUGCUAUAGUUGCAAAGGAAUGAGUAGUGUGCUUGUAUUGUACUGAGAUGAUGGAAGCAUGCUGCUCUGAACGAGCUGAGUUUGGUCCAGGCCAAUACACAAUAAUGACCGAUGUUUUAAUAACACUUCAAUGGCAUGCAACAAGGGUUGAUAUCUCUGCAGCAACAAUAGGUAGUCAUUGAAGAUCUCAGCAGUGAAGCAAAAAGGCAGCAUUUUUGGAAGUGAUCUGCUUUUCCCAAACUCUCACUGAGAUUGGGAGAGAGGACUUAAACUAAGGUGAAGACUUGUGUCUAUGGAGCUGGAGCUACCUCCUCUCUUUAAGGUCUGCUCUCAAGUCUGCUGAGAUGAUCCCUGUCGCCUUUCGGUCUUUGGAUCAGUCCGUAUAUGAAAGAAUUACUUUAUUCCUAUCUCUGGUAUGAAAUCUGGUAUGAAAUUCAUUGAGAAGUCUGAAUGAGGGAACUUGGAAUCGUUCUGCUGGUACUCGUGGUGGAACUUUUCUGGAAAGAGAAGUUCGUGUUCUAUGUUUUCUCCUAAGAACAAAAAUCCCUAUGAAGUUCUGUGAUGUAAUUUGCUUAAACAAUAUUUUCUUCUGAAUGAAGCCAGGAAAGAGUUUCCUGUUAUAUUUCAGGGAAGUUAGGUAACGUGCAAAGUGAAUAUGUCAAAUAAUGGAGUUCUAGUAUAUAACAAUGAAGUCAACACUAAUAAAAGUUUGCUGUCUUUCUAAAAUGGUCUUGUG